UGACGGCGGCGGGGCCCGGCCGCGCUGCGGCGUCGUGCUGGGCGGGAGGCACGGGGAGAUGUGGCCGCCGGCGCUGCCGCGGCUCCUGGCAGGGCCGCUGCUGGUGCUGCUGGUGCUGCUGGAGGCCGCCCGCUGCGGGGAGGCUACGGCCCUGCACCCCCGGGAUGCCGCCACCACUUCCCCGCGCCCCACGGAGGCGGCCGGCGGGGCGGCCACGCGGAGCAGCAGCAGCAGGAGCAGCAGCAGCAGCAGCCGCCUGGCCGAGGUGUCGGUGCCGCCCGAGCAGGGCCAGCCCAUGACCCAGCGCGCCCUGUCUGUGCUGGUGCUGGCCAGCGCCGCCCUCAUCGUCUACUUCGUGAUCCGGACCGUGCGGCUCAGAAGGCGAAACAGAAAAACACGAAGAUACGGAGUUCUGGAUACGCACAUAGAAAACAUGGAGCUGACCCCAUUAGAACAAGAUGAUGAUGAUGAUGAUACAACAGUAUUUGAUGCCAACCAUCCUCGAAGAGAAGUACGUGCCUUUCAAUGAAAGAACUUAAUCUUAGAACCAGAGAAGGAGACUGCUUCAUGGGAGAAAUAAGAAGCAAGACGGGCCAGUGUAACCCCAAAAUGGGCCCCUCCAGCCAUGCUGUGAAGCUGCUGUGGAGAAGGACUUGGUCAAAGCAGGCAAGCUCUGUGAACUGCUCCAGCUAAUAUGAGAGGGCAGUACCCUUCAGUGUAUAAACAACUGUCAGUGGAAUGUGAAUGAAGUGCUGCUAACAUUUUAUCACCUUUUAUUGUAAAUUUAUGUACACUUUUGGCACUUUUAACAACAAAGUAAUUGCAUUUUACAACAUACAGGUUUUCUGUCUUACGGCAUUUGUUUUCUUUCUGUCUUUGACUUGUAAAUGCUGCUUUUUAUGUUGUUCUGCUGUCAGCUUCUCGAGGACGAGAGGCUGUGUCCAGAUCACUUGAAGGAAUAUGAAAUGAAAUGGAGUGGAAUAUGAAGAGGCCUUUGAGGAGCCAUGAAAGGAAUGGAAAGUUGAACCUUCUUGCGUAGGUAUCAUUCAAAAGUGCCAUUAAUGAUUAUAUGAACUAAGUGAUUGCAUUUUGCUGGACUAUAAACAAUUCCAUGUCUUGCCUUCUUCCUCCUUCCCUCCUUCCUCUUUGCCUUCCUUUCUCUUUCAACAAGUGUACCCUUUUCUAAUUGUGCAGUAAGUGCUGAAAAGGAGACAUAUCCUUCCUAUGAAAUGCUUUCCCAAGCACAAUCACUGUCCAGAAUCAAAGUGAACCUGCUGGACACCAGGCUCUGAGUUUCCCAUCCCUCAUGUGCCCGGGAAUGCCUGUGUGCUCAGUUCAUGGUCACCUGGCAGAAAUUAAGGACUCACUAUUUCCAAUAGCAUUGAUGGUUAGAAUUGGAGCCGUAUUAACCACUGGAGAAGUAAUAGGUAAUGCAGCUGACGAUGUUGAUGUUCCCAUGUUUGGAACAGGUGCCAACUUACCACAGGAGACAACUGCUGGAGUUCUGAUACAGAUACACAUCAGUGUUUACAGCCAGUAUAUUAAUGUGAGGUGAAUGAAUCAGUUCUGCUGAGACACUGCUGUCAUCUCGCUGUGCUUUUGAUUGAGACCUCAGGCUCCCUGUGUUAGUCACUGGAUUUCUCAUCUAUGGGCUUGCAGGAGUUGAUAUGUGUCCUGAAUUCUGUGGCAUUUACACUAAAUAUUUCAGGUAGUGCCACAGAUCUUCGUUGUAACUACAUUAACUGCAGUACCGAACUGCUAUGAAGUUCAUCCCUUCGACGUUAGUGUUGCCUGCUUCAGGACUGGAAGAAAAGCCCAGAAAAUGCAGGCUGCUGAACAGAACAUAGCACCAACUCUGAAAACUGGCUCAGGAAUGUAACCUCUUGAACCCAGAAAUUUAUGGGCACAGAAGUGGAGGGGAUCAGACUGUAUACAUGUAAUUUUUUAACCAUGGUGGAUGUAGGCUCAAAAAUUGCCAAAUCAAAACUGCUCAGACAACACCUUAGUCUUUUUUUUAUCUGACCAAGUUGCUGCAGAUUGAGUGGCCACCUCUCCCAUGCUUUACUAGAUGUCUCUUGAAAUUCUACUUGGUAGUAUGCGGUAUCAAAAAAUUUAGUCACACAUGUUAAACAUUAUUCUUUGCUUUAUAUUGAAGUAAAAAUUCAAUCAGAUUUUACUAGAUAAUCAAAUUUCUUGAUAUCUUCAAAAAUAAAUUAAUUUGCUUGAAGGUUCUUGUUUGAUAUGAGCCUCUUUUUAAGACAGAUGGAAAUCUUCACAUGAAUUUCUUAAUAUCUGUUUCAAGUAAUCUCCACUAUUGCCAUAAGGUGGUUUUUUGGUCUUCAUGAUCAGAAUUUGGUGGGUUUUUUGCUGGUUUUCAUUUACUAAGAGUAACAAUGGUCUGGUUUUACACACUUGGUUUUUUUAAUCUUAAAUUUUAAGUCUAAGCUUUUUCAAUAACAUAUUUGAUCACUUGGUGGAGAACUGAUUAUUGAUAUUUAUAAAGGCAGUGAAACACAGACUUCAAAAGAAACAUUAAGAAUUUAAGAUUUUAGUUAAAGAUUAGUUUUGCUAGAAUUAGAGUAAGUAGGUCCACCUGAGAUUAAUUAAGAGUUAAUAAGAGUUAAGUUAGAAACAAGCUUUUAAGUUUCAGAUAAUUAACUGUCUUUCUAUAUUUGCUUAGCUGUGUUUAUAAUAAGAACCAGAAAACAUUGAUAGAUACAUCUAAAGAAAUUUAAAACAAUUGCUAAUUUUUCCCAUCUGGAUACUAUUCAGAAGUAAUAAGGAAGAAACUGGAUGUUCCCCAAGAGGCCAUUUGUAUUGUCAAAACCCAGAGGGCUGGAAAGUUCAAGUGAGGAAGAGUAUUAUUCCUUCAAGACCAUUCCUCAAUUAAUAAUGGCCACCGACUCAAUUUAGAAACUAUACUAUGCAUGCUUAAUGACAUUAAAGCUAAUUUCCAUACAAAGCAGAGAAUAGGAGGGGUCAUUGUUGUAAAUAUGUAUUUGUAUUUUGGAUAUUCAUAAUUUUUGUGGAUAAAUAGACUCUGUAACCAUUCAUACUUUGACACUGCAUAUUAGGAAGCUAUUCCACGCAGCUGUCUGGCGCCUAAUAAAACAUACACUUUCUAACUCUAAACUGUUAGAGAGUUUUUGUCCGUCUCAGUUGGAUAUCGAUGCUAGAUGGAUAUUCAUAUUUUUUGGUAAAUCAGUAGCAUUUCAAACAGAAGUUCUCUGACCAUUGUUAGGUUCUUUCAUGGCUUGUGUAUGUCCUCAUUGCCUAUAAAGCAGUUGGAAUAGGUGAACCGACAAGAGACCCAAGCACUUAAAUUUUGGAAAGUACAGAUUUUCUCAGGAAUCUUAUUUCUCUCUCUACACACAUAAUGAUAUUAUUAGUGACUCUGUCUCCUUUUUCUUUCCACAGGAUUUUUCUUAUUUACUGCACAAUGGAGAAAAUUAGUAAAUAAACUUUCAUUGUACUUUUUUCCUCACACAUUUGCAUAAUUUAAGCCAUAUUUCAGGAUUCAAAUGUUUUUCUGCAUAAAGAGUGACUACUUUUCCUAGCUUUAUUCCAAGACACCCACACCGAUUGUGUCUUAGGCCUUCAAAUGAAUAAAACCAAAUCAAUUUUCACAGAAACACCGGAAGUUCUUAUUCCCACUCUACAAUUAAGGUACUGAGACUGUGAGAAAUAAAAUUGUUGCUAAUUUUAGUAAUUUUUCUUUGGUUAAAGCAGUAAGAAAUGAUUUUCCAGAGUGUUGAAGCAGUGCAUAUGUUCUAUGUAUGUGGUAUUUUUUUCAUUUUUGUGUUGUACGAGCUUUUGUAGAGCCAAAAUCCUAAUUUGACUGAUCAGCAAAUGAGAACUACAUUGUGAAUGGCAAACUGGACAUAUUUUGAGUUAAAAGAUUUCUUUGACACCACCUGGAAACUCAGUGGCAGGGCUUGGAAUGGAAUCAGUUUCUCUAGAGUAUUGACCAAUUUUGUUUCCCUUUCUUUUUCCUUUUAAGCCUGAAAUAAAGCACAUAGAUCUGUAA